rnacentral:rRNA from 1 species
UACGAAGGUGGCUAGCGUUGCUCGGAAUCACUGGGCGUAAAGGGUGCGUAGGCGGGUCUUUAAGUCAGGGGUGAAAUCCUGGAGCUCAACUCCAGAACUGCCUUUGAUACUGAAGAGCUUGAGUUCGGGAGAGGUGAGUGGAACUGCGAGUGUAGAGGUGAAAUUCGUAGAUAUUCGCAAGAACACCAGUGGCGAAGGCGGCUCACUGGCCCGAUACUGACGCUGAGGCACGAAAGCGUGGGGAGCAAACAGG